UGACAUCACUGACUUGCCUUUGAUGCCCAUCAGCCAAAAGACGUUAUUCAUCUCUAAGCAUGAACAAUACAAUGAAGCUGAAUUUUCCAGGCAACCAGAGUGAGUUCUCUGAAGAGGCCACUAACCUAGAUGCUUGCCUUUGUCCUCAUACCUUGAACUCUGCCUCCCAGCUGAGUUGGACAUCCUGUCAGCCCAGGCCCAUCCUCCGUUAGCUGCCCACCCAGCCUGACUUUCCCACCAAAAUGCUGAUAAAACCUGAGGUGCCCAGCCAGUGAACAGACUUCCUGAGGCAGCUG